rnacentral:lncRNA from 1 species
GGAUCUGAUUUCAAAUACUCUUUGACUUUAUCUCCGGCAGCUGCACCGAGCAUAGUUGCUGGACAGAGAUGAGCAUCAGCUAGUAAUUCUUCACCGUUUUCGUCUAAAUUCGUGUGGAUCAUUCCGACGCCUCCGGCUUCUCUCACGGCGGCUCCUUUUUCAACCCUAGCGUUACCUCCACGGUCGCAGAUCACGAUUUUUCCGGCGACAAGUGAGGCGUUUAGUCUGCCGGAAUAACAGUACCGAUCACCGCAAUCCGCUGCGUAAACUAACGGAUACUGAACUUCUCCGAGUCCGUCACCGGAGUACAACGAUACGCCGCCGUAAACUCUACCGUCGCCAAGAACAACAUCCGCCGGAAACUCUCUGUCAAUAGUAGAAGCUCCGAUUGUGAAAAUCCACGGAGCGAUGUUGACAGCUGUAUAAGCACCUGGACCGGAGUUUCCUGCCGAACAUGACGUCAGAAUACCGUGUUGCAUCGCUCCAAAAGCUCCAAUAGCAAUCGAAUCACGAUAAUACUGAGGAGCGUAACCGCUAGAUCCAACUGAUAACGAGAUGAUGUGUACACCGUCAUCAAUCGCUUGAUCCAUAGCAGCAAGUAUAUCGGAAUCGUAACAACCUGCACUCCAACAGAUCUUGUAAACAGCAAUUCUAGCCUUAAUCGCCAUACCUCUAGCUUCACCGGUAGCAAAGUCAAAAAAUCCGGCAUCCUUCACCACCGCACCAGCAGCCGUAGAAGCCGUAUGAGUUCCAUGACCUUCAGUAUCCCUAGGAGAUAGACUACCGUUAGUUUCAUUCAACCGUCCGUUUAAACUAGCCGUAUAUCCUCUGUAAUACGCCUUAGCACCGAUAAUCUUACGGUUACACGCCGUUGCCGGAAAAUCCGGAGUGACUUCACAACUGCCUUUCCAGGUUGAUGGAACCGGUGGAAGACCUUCAUCGGAGAAACUAGGUCGUUCCGGCCAGAUUCCGGUGUCAAGUACUCCAACAAUAACAUCAUCUCCGUACUCAGCGUUAGGCCAGAGGCCGAAAGUAUCAGCUAAACCUAAAAAGUUAGGUGUGUGAGUUGUGUGAAGCGUUCUCCGGCGAUCUGGAAUUACAGAGAGUAUGCCGGGAAGACGACGGAGUUGAGAGGCUUGUGAUCGGGUCAACCUAGCGGAGAAACCGUUGACCGAGCGUUCGUACGUGUAGAUGAUGUCAGAUUGUUGGUUUGAUGAUGAAACUGACUGGAGAACGGAUGAAUACCAGUGGUGAUGAGUGGAAAACGUGUUAGAGAGGAUGAACAGAGAACAGAGAAGAAGAUAAGAUGAGAGUGAAGUAGCCAUUUUUGGGUUCCCUACUUUUCUGGAUAUUCUUGGGGAAGAAGAAGAUAUGAUCAUAAAAAGGCGAUUGAAAAGAUUAAAAAAAUUAAAAGGUUGGAAAUAUUGGUACGUGGCAGAGUUUGAUUGGGCGAUGGUAAUGGGCCACUUGUAAGCACUACCUACCACUAUGCUACUUGUAAAAUAACAGGAUUGGCGUAUCAAAAAUGCCCAUGCCAUUAUUAUUUUUCUUUUUUUGUUUUUAACUUGUAAAAUAACAUGAUUGGCCUAUCAAAAAUGUCCAUGCCAUAAUUAUUUUUCUUUUUUGUUUUUAUAAUAUCCUUUGUGUUGAUUUUUUGGGAUAUAUUAUUUCUUUCU